rfam:Nematostella vectensis strain CH2 x CH6 NEMVEscaffold_53_Cont8115, whole genome shotgun sequence.
GCCAUGCUGACGAGUCCUACUAAGGACGAAACAGCUGUCCAUGGU